AUCAAAAUGAGGAGAUUUUUUGUUCAGAGGUACAUAUUGUAGAUACAUCCAUUCAUGGUCUUGAAAGUUCUCUGAUUGU
rnacentral:snoRNA from 1 species